rnacentral:lncRNA from 1 species
UUUAUUCUAAUAAUUGAUAUAGUGGUUUGUCCCUAUUUGCCUUUAGUUAUAGAAAGCCUUGAUUUUAAUUAGCUUGUGUUUAUUGUGAUGUCUCCUCUUUAAACAAUUGCUUCGUGUAGUAUUUUUCUUUGCAUGUUGGCUCGUAAAUACUCUAGCAGUUUGGUCCAUUUGCUUUUAGAUUAAAUAUAUUCAAUUUCCC